rnacentral:rRNA from 1 species
CUACGGAAGGUCCGGGCGUUAUCCGGAUUUAUUGGGUUUAAAGGGAGCGCAGGCGGAGAUGCAAGCGUGACGUCAAAUUUCGGGGCUCAACCCCGUCUCGCGUCGCGAACUGCGUCCCUUGGUUGCGGGAAGGGGAGGCGGAACUCGUGGUGUAGCGGUGAAAUGCAUAGAUAUCACGAAGAACUCCGAUUGCGAAGGCAGUCCGCUGGGGCACGUCUGACGCUGAUGCUCGAAGGUGCGGGAAUCAAACAGGAUUAGAUACCCUGGUAGUCCGCACGGUAAACGAUGAUUACCCGCUGUCGGCGGUAGACAGUCGGCGGCCAAGCGAAAGCGAUAAGUAAUCCACCUGGGGAGUACGCCGGCAACGGUGAAACUCAAAUGAAUUGACGGGG